AACGAACGCUGGCGGCAGGCCUAACACAUGCAAGUCGAACGCCCCGCAAGGUGAGUGGCGCACGGGUGAGUAACACGUGGGAAUGUAUCCUUUGGUUCGGAAUAACGUCUGGAAACGGACGCUAAUACCGGAUGAGCCCUAUGGGGGAAAGAUUUAUCGCCGAAGGAGCAGCCCGCGUCUGAUUAGGUAGUUGGUGGGGUAAAGUACUACCAAGCCGACGAUCAGUUGCUGGUCUGAGAGGAUGAUCAGCCACACUGGGACGGAGACACGACCCAGACUCCUACGGGAGGCAGCAGUGGGGAAUGUUGGACAAUGGGCGCAAGCCUGAUCCAGCCAUGCCGCGUGAGUGAUGAAGGCCUUCGGGUUGUAAAGCUCUUUCGCACACGACGAUGAUGACGGUACCAGGAGAAUAAGCACCGGCUAACUCUGUGCCAGCAGCCGCCGUAAUAC
rnacentral:rRNA from 1 species